rnacentral:rRNA from 1 species
CCUACGGGCGGCAGCAGUGGGGAAUAUUGGACAAUGGGCGAAAGCCUGAUCCAGCCAUGCCGCGUGUGUGAAGAAGGCCUUCGGGUUGUAAAGCACUUUCAGUGGGGAAGAAAGCCUUGGGGCUAAUACCCUCGAGGAAGGACAUCACCCACAGAAGAAGCACCGGCUAACUCCGUGCCAGCAGCCGCGGUAAUACGGAGGGUGCGAGCGUUAAUCGGAAGUACUGGGCGUAAAGCGCGCGUAGGCGGUCUGAUAAGCCGGUUGUGAAAGCCCCGGGCUCAACCUGGGAACGGCAUCCGGAACUGUCAGGCUAGAGUGCAGGAGAGGAAGGUAGAAUUCCCGGUGUAGCAGUGAAAUGCGUAGAGAUCGGGAGGAAUACCAGUGGCGAAGGCGGCCUUCUGGACUGACACUGACGCUGAGGUGCGAAAGCGUGGGUAGCAAACAGGAUUAGAUACCCUGGUAGUC